rnacentral:tRNA from 1 species
GGUCUCGUCGAUCAGUUGGUUAGAUCGUCACCUACACUCCAGCUUUAUACUUGCUGUCGUCGGUUCAAAUCCCACCGAGGUCA